rnacentral:piRNA from 1 species
AGCUAGGGUGCCAUGGAAACUUCCAGACUGU